GUCCCAUGUGGCUCAGGUGGUAGAGCAUGGUGCUUACAUCGCCAGGGUUGUGGGUUUGAUUCCCAUGAGGGACU